UACGUAGGGUGCGAGCGUUGUCCGGAAUUACUGGGCGUAAAGAGCUCGUAGGUGGUUUGUCGCGUUGUUCGUGAAAACUCACAACUCAAUUGUGGGCGUGCGGGCGAUACGGGCAGACUGGAGUACUGCAGGGGAGACUGGAAUUCCUGGUGUAGCGGUGGAAUGCGCAGAUAUCAGGAGGAACACCGGUGGCGAAGGCGGGUCUCUGGACAGAGUCUGACGCUGAGGCGCGAAAGCUAGGGGAGCAAACAGG
rnacentral:rRNA from 1 species